UAGACGGAUGCUCGCUGGUUUGAGCGCUUAGCUGUUAACUAAGAGUUUGUAGGAU
rnacentral:tRNA from 1 species